rnacentral:rRNA from 1 species
UGAGGAAUAUUGGUCAAUGGGCGCGAGCCUGAACCAGCCAAGUAGCGUGCAGGAAGACGGCCCUAUGGGUUGUAAACUGCUUUUAUGCGGGGUUAAAGGAGUCCACGUGUGGAUUUUUGCAGGUACCGCAUGAAUAAGGACCGGCUAAUUCCGUGCCAGCAGCCGCGGUAAUACGGAAGGUCCGGGCGUUAUCCGGAUUUAUUGGGUUUAAAGGGAGCGUAGGCCGCGUUUUAAGCGUGUUGUGAAAUGUAGACGCCCAACGUCUGCAUCGCAGCGCGAACUGGGACGCUUGAGUACGCGCAACGUUGGCGGAAUUCGUCGUGUAGCGGUGAAAUGCUUAGAUAUGACGAGGAACUCCGAUUGCGAAGGCAGCUGACGGGAGCGGCACUGACGCUUAAGCUCGAAGGUGCGGGUAUCAAACAGG